rnacentral:rRNA from 1 species
AUUGAACGCUGGCGGCAGGCCUAACACAUGCAAGUCGAGCGGAUGAAGGGAGCUUGCUCCUGGAUUCAGCGGCGGACGGGUGAGUAAUGCCUAGGAAUCUGCCUGGUAGUGGGGGAUAACGUCCGGAAACGGGCGCUAAUACCGCAUACGUCCUGAGGGAGAAAGUGGGGGAUCUUCGGACCUCACGCUAUCAGAUGAGCCUAGGUCGGAUUAGCUAGUUGGUGGGGUAAAGGCCUACCAAGGCGACGAUCCGUAACUGGUCUGAGAGGAUGAUCAGUCACACUGGAACUGAGACACGGUCCAGACUCCUACGGGAGGCAGCAGUGGGGAAUAUUGGACAAUGGGCGGAAGCCUGAUCCAGCCAUGCCGCGUGUGUGAAGAAGGUCUUCGGAUUGUAAAGCACUUUUAGUUGGGAGGAAGGGCAGUAAGUUAAUACCUUGCUGUUUUGACGUUACCAACAGAAUAAGCACCGGCUAACUUCGUG